rnacentral:rRNA from 1 species
CACGCCGUAAACGGUGGUUACUAGGUGUGGGUUUCCUUCUUUGGGAUCCGUGCCGUAGCUAACGCAUUAAGUACCCCGCCUGGGGAGUACGGCCGCAAGGCUAAAACUCAAAGAAAUUGACGGGGGCCCGCACAAGCGGCGGAGCAUGUGGAUUAAUUCGAUGCAACGCGAAGAACCUUACCUGGGUUUGACAUGCACAGGACGCCGGCAGAGAUGUCGGUUCCCUUGUGGCCUGUGUGCAGGUGGUGCAUGGCUGUCGUCAGCUCGUGUCGUGAGAUGUUGGGUUAAGUCCCGCAACGAGCGCAACCCUUGUCUCAUGUUGCCAGCGGGUAAUGCCGGGGACUCGUGAGAGACUGCCGGGGUCAACUCGGAGGAAGGUGGGGAUGACGUCAAGUCAUCAUGCCCCUUAUGUCCAGGGCUUCACACAUGCUACAAUGGCCGGUACAAAGGGCUGCGAUGCCGCGAGGUUAAGCGAAUCCUUUUAAAGCCGGUCUCAGUUCGGAUCGGGGUCUGCAACUCGACCCCGUGAAGUCGGAGUCGCUAGUAAUCGCAGAUCAGCAACGCUGCGGUGAUACGUUCCCGGGCCUUGUACUCACCGCCCG